rnacentral:lncRNA from 1 species
GUGUGAGUGAGAGACUUUCACUCAAUGUACUUGACACGAAGAGAUGCUGCCAUGCUGAAGUCCUGCAGCAGUGUGAGAGGCCUGGAACUUGUCCUCUGCACCCUCAUGCUGUCAGCAGCCAGGUGAAACGGGACAGGUGCUGCUGCUUCCUGGCACAUUUGAUGGCUGGGAUGCAUCUUUCUGAGGAGCUGCCAGAAGAAUGGCAAAGGAUAAAGCUGAAGGUGUCCAAAAGCCUGCAAGCCAGUAACAUGAGCUGAGAUCUGUGAAUGAAAGCAGUCUUCUGGAUGAAAUUGCCUUGAUUUGGCAAAGAGAUUGUCCUGUGGAGAGAGGAUCCCAUGCUGGAGCAGUCUGUCCCUGAAGGACUGCACCCUGUAGCCCCUGGACUGAACGACUCUCCAUGGCUCAGGCAGAGAAAGCAGAGAACUUAUGCUGCCUGAAGAUGGUAUGGAAUCUCUCUCUGCUAUGCAACUUCACACAGCCCCAGUUUUCCAUAAUGCAAGAGAAGGGAACACCGUCACACUGAAUGGCUUCACACCAAACGGAGAACAGAGAAAAUGCUUUCACCUAAGACAAGAUGAAUAA